rnacentral:rRNA from 1 species
CCUACGGGUGGCAUCAGUGGGGAAUAUUGGACAAUGGGGGGAACCCUGAUCCAGCCAUGCCGCGUGUGUGAAGAAGGCCCUCGGGUUGUAAAGCACUUUCAGUGAGGAAGAACGCCUGGUGGUUAAUACCCAUCAGGAAAGACAUCACUCACAGAAGAAGCACCGGCUAACUCCGUGCCAGCAGCCGCGGUAAUACGGAGGGUGCGAGCGUUAAUCGGAAUUACUGGGCGUAAAGCGCGCGUAGGUGGCUUGAUAAGCCGGUUGUGAAAGCCCCGGGCUCAACCUGGGAACGGCAUCCGGAACUGUCAAGCUAGAGUGCAGGAGAGGAAGGUAGAAUUCCCGGUGUAGCGGUGAAAUGCGUAGAGAUCGGGAGGAAUACCAGUGGCGAAGGCGGCCUUCUGGACUGACACUGACACUGAGGUGCGAAAGCGUGGGUAGCAAACAGGAUUAGAUACCCUAGUAGUC